rnacentral:rRNA from 1 species
CUUUCUUUCUCUUGAAGAGCGGCGGCACGGGUUGUAGAUAAUGCCGUAGGAAUCAUGCCCUGGGUAGAUGGGGGAUAACGCCUCGGAAACGGACGCUAAUACCGCAUACGUCCUACGGGAGAAAGCAGGGGACCUUCGGGCCUUGCGCUAUCAGAUGAGCCUAGGUCGGAUUAGCUAGUUGGUGAGGUAUGGCUCACCAAGGCGACGAUCCGUAACUGGUCUGAGAGGAUGAUCAGUCACACUGGAACUGAGACACGGUCCAGACUCCUACGGGAGGCAGCAGUGGGGAAUAUUGGACAAUGGGCGAAAGCCUGAUCCAGCCAUGCCGCGUGUGUGAAGAAGGUCUUCGGAUUGUAAAGCACUUUAAGUUGGGAGGAAGGGCAGUUACCUAAUACGUAUCUGUUUUGACGUUACCGACAGAAUAAGCACCGGCUAACUCUGUGCCAGCAGCCGCGGUAAUACAGAGGGUGCAAGCGUUAAUCGGAAUUACUGGGCGUAAAGCGCGCGUAGGUGGUUUGUUAAGUUGGAUGUGAAAUCCCCGGGCUCAACCUGGGAACUGCAUUCAAAACUGACAAGCUAGAGUAUGGUAGAGGGUGGUGGAAUUUCCUGUGUAGCGGUGAAAUGCGUAGAUAUAGGAAGGAACACCAGUGGCGAAGGCGACCACCUGGCGCAGUCUAACGCAUUAAGUUGACCGCCUGGGGAGUACGGCCGCAAGGUUAAAACUCAAAUGAAUUGACGGGGGCCCGCACAAGCGGUGGAGCAUGUGGUUUAAUUCGAAGCAACGCGAAGAACCUUACCAGGCCUUGACAUCCAAUGAACUUUCCAGAGAUGGAUUGGUGCCUUCGGGAACAUUGAGACAGGUGCUGCAUGGCUGUCGUCAGCUCGUGUCGUGAGAUGUUGGGUUAAGUCCCGUAACGAGCGCAACCCUUGUCCUUAGUUACCAGCACGUCAUGGUGGGCACUCUAAGGAGACUGCCGGUGACAAACCGGAGGAAGGUGGGGAUGACGUCAAGUCAUCAUGGCCCUUACGGCCUGGGCUACACACGUGCUACAAUGGUCGGUACAGAGGGUUGCCAAGCCGCGAGGUGGAGCUAAUCCCAGAAAACCGAUCGUAGUCCGGAUCGCAGUCUGCAACUCGACUGCGUGAAGUCGGAAUCGCUAGUAAUCGCGAAUCAGAAUGUCGCGGUGAAUACCGUUCCCGGGCCUUGUAUCACACCGCCCGUCACCACCAUGGGACGUGGGUUGCACCCAGAACGUAGCUU